CUAUCAACUUUCGAUGGUAAGGUAGUGUCUUACCAUGGUGGCAACGGGUAACGGACCGUGGGUGCGGGACUCCGGAGAGGGAGCCUGAGAAACGGCUACCACAUCCAAGGAAGGCAGCAGGCGCGUAAAUUACCCAAUCCAGACUCUGG
rnacentral:rRNA from 1 species